UACGGGGGGGGCAAGCGUUGUUCGGAAUUACUGGGCGUAAAGGGUUCGUAGGUGGCCUGCUAAGUCACACGUGAAAUCCCUCAGCUUAACUGGGGAACUGCGUGUGAGACUGGCGGGCUUGAGUGCAGGAGAGGAACGCGGAAUUCCAGGUGUAGCGGUGAAAUGCGUAGAUAUCUGGAGGAACACCGGUGGCGAAGGCGGCAUCCUGGACCGAGAUUGACGCUGAGGCGCGAAAGCUAGGGGAGCAACGGGG
rnacentral:rRNA from 1 species